AUUGAACGCUGGCGGCAGGCCUAACACAUGCAAGUCGAGCGGAUGAAGGGAGCUUGCUCCUGGAUUCAGCGGCGGACGGGUGAGUAAUGCCUAGGAAUCUGCCUGGUAGUGGGGGAUAACGUCCGGAAACGGGCGCUAAUACCGCAUACGUCCUGAGGUAUAAAGUGGGGGAUCUUCUGACCUCACUCUAUCAGAUGAGCCUAGGUCGGAUUAGCUAGUUGGUGGGGUAAAGGCCUACCAAGGCGACGAUCCGUAACUGGUCUGAGAGGAGGAUCAGUCACACUGGAACUGAGACACGGUCCAGACUCCUACGGGAGGCAGCAGUGGGGAAUAUUGGACAAUGGGCGAAAGCCUGAUCCAGCCAUGCCGCGUGUGUGAAGAAGGUCUUCGGAUUGUAAAGCACUUUAAGUUGGGAGGAAGGGCAGUAAGUUAAUAACUUGCUGUUUUGACGUUACCAACAGAAUAAGCACCGGCUAACUUCGUG
rnacentral:rRNA from 1 species